rnacentral:lncRNA from 1 species
CAACAAGCUUGUCUUGGAACAAAGCCAACAAUUUAUCUUCAUUUAUCGGUGUUUUAUCCUUUCAGGGGAAAAAAAAAAAUACGCAGUGCGGGAUGGGAAUAGGAAUCACUGUUCUGCAUCGAACUGAAACAAGGAUCUGAUGGAAAUGUAAGGUCUGCUAUUGGUGAUGUUCCAGACCAUGAACCUGUGGCUUACGUUCUAGGACACCACAGGUGAGUUACUCAAAUGUGAAGACAGUUUCCUCAUCUGGAAAUAAGACUUGGACCUUUUUUUCACAUCUAUGACUUCCUGUGAUUUGGUGAAAUUUUUCCUUGUUUGUUUUUGGAAAGCUACACAGAA